rnacentral:SRP_RNA from 1 species
CGGGCCCUGCGCAAUAGAAACUCGCAAACCCCGCCAGGCCCGGAAGGGAGCAACGGUAGUGAACUUUUUAUGUGCCGCAGCC